rnacentral:lncRNA from 10 species
CUCUGUGAUAAGAAAUGUGUAAAAACAUCUCACAUGUUUUUAAUAUGCAUUUUUUGUUGUUUUUGAGAUUGGUGUCUCACUCUGUCACUCAGGCAAGAGUGCAGUGGUACAAUCACAGCUAGCUGUAGCCUCGACCUCCAAGGUUCAGGUGAUCCUCUGCUUCAGCCUCCUGAGUAGCUGGGACUACAGGUGGGCGCCACCACGCCUGGCUACUUUUUGUGUUUUUUGAGGAAACAGGGUUUCACCAUGUUGCCCAAGCUGGUCUUGAACUCCUGGGCUCAAGGGAUCCACCUGCCUUGGUCUCCCAAAGUGCUAGGAUUACAGACAUGAGCUGCUGCACCUGGCAAUUGGCAUUUUUAUUUCUAUUGAGGAUGGAUUAUGUUUGAAUACAUAUUUACUGGCCAGUUGAAUUUUUAAAUGAAUCACAUAUUUAUGUUCUCUAUUUUCUAAUUGGGUUUUUAGUGUUUUCCUGAUCAAUCUGAAUGAACUACAUAUAUAUUAAGGAUAUUAACUCUGACAUAUUUCUUGCAAAUACAUCCCAUUUUUUUGCCUUUUACUUUUGUUUAUGAUAUACAUAAAUGCAUAUGUCUUAAAAUUUUAUAUUGAGUAGUCUAUACAUUUUUUUCCCAAGUGACUUUUGCUCAAAUUUUUUAACAGGUAUUUGAGAUUUUGAAAAUGAAGCCUGGUUAAAGCCCAAGGUUUGAUCGUGCUACGCGUGCUAAAGAUAAGGGGGUCUCGCUGUCGCGAUCUCGGCUCACUGCAACCUUCGACUCCUGGGUUCAAGUGAUUCUUCUGCCUCAGCCUCCUGAGUAGCUGGGAUUACGGACGUACACCACCAUGCCUGGCUAAUUUUUGUAUGUUAGUAGAGAUGGGGUUUUAUCAUGUUGGCCAGGCUGAUCUCAAACUCCUGGCCUCAGGUGAUCCACCCACUUCGGCCUCCCAAAGUGCUGGGACUACAGGUGUGAGUCACUGUGACCAGCCCAUAGAGGAAACUGUGCAAAGUUAUGUGCGUGAAAAACCUUCAGGAUGGAGAGAAUCAGCUGCCUACCUUGAACUACCUUGAAUAAGGCUGCCUUUGCUCUAAGAAAACCUGAAAAGUCUUCAACUAAAAGCUGAAAAGUCUUCAACUAUUACGUGAGGAUCUGCAGUUGGGGUCUAUGCUGUAGUGACUCAAGAUCACUGAUAGAACUUAAAGUCUAAUUUUUUUUUCAGUUAGGUGCAUCCCGAUACAGAAAUAGUGAAGAGUAUUUUAGCUAGGACCCAAAAUUGCCAAGGUUCUUGGAACUUCACAAAGGUCAAAGCUUGAACUGUGUCUGAAGAGGGUAUCAGAAUGUAUCUUUAUUCAGUACCAUAGACUAAGAAAGAAAAACAACUUUAUUUGUACGUUAUAUGAGGAAUCCUCCUCAUGAUCUCACAUUUGUUAUCUUAGUUCCGUUUCCUCAACAAUGCUGUGACCCAGUGUGGAUUCCCAUGGAUCUUAUUGAAAAUGCUUAUUAAAACUGCUACUUGACAGAAACUUUAUAAUUUUAGACUAAUUUCUCUCCAUCCCCUCUGAAUAAAAAUUCACAUGGUCAUUGAAUUUUUAUGUGACAAUAAUGCAUAUAUAUAUAUACGUAUAAAUAUAUAUAAUACUCAAAUUCUUUGAUGCUUUGUGUGGCUUGGAAUAAAUGUUAAUAUUACAGA